UGAAAGGCCAAUCAAACCGGGAGAUAGCUGGUUCUCCCCGAAAGCUAUUUAGGUAGCGCCUCGUGAAUUCAUCUCCGGGGGUAGAGCACUGUUUCGGCUAGGGGGCCAUCCCGGCUUACCAACCCGAUGCAAACUGCGAAUACCGGAGAAUGUUAUCACGGGAGACACACGGCGGGUGCUAACGUCCGUCGUGAAGAGGGAAACAACCCAGACCGCCAGCUAAGGUCCCAAAGUCAUGGUUAAGUGGGAAACGAUGUGGGAAGGCCCAGACAGCCAGGAUGUUGGCUUAGAAGCAGCCAUCAUUUAAAGAAAGCGUAAUAGCUCACUGGUCGAGUCGGCCUGCGCGGAAGAUGUAACGGGGCUAAACCAUGCACCGAAGCUGCGGCAGCGAACGUAUCACCCAAGACAACUUUACGGAGUUGACGAUUGACGGAGCGAAGCGACGUCAAAGCGUUCAUUAAAGUCGAGUUGGCUUAGGGAUACGUUCGUUGGGUAGGGGAGCGUUCUGUAAGCCUGUGAAGGUGUGUCGUGAGGCAUGCUGGAGGUAUCAGAAGUGCGAAUGCUGACAUAAGUAACGAUAAAGCGGGUGAAAAGCCCGCUCGCCGGAAGACCAAGGGUUCCUGUCCAACGUUAAUCGGGGCAGGGUGAGUCGACCCCUAAGGCGAGGCCGAAAGGCGUAGUCGAUGGGAAACGGGUUAAUAUUCCCGUACUUGGUGUUACUGCGAAGGGGGGACGGAGAAGGCUAUGUUGGCCGGGCGACGGUUGUCCCGGUUUAAGCGUGUAGGUGUGUGUUCCAGGUAAAUCCGGUU
rnacentral:rRNA from 1 species